UUUCGCUCUUNGAAGUUUGUAUCUCGUGUGUGGUAGUAGUCAGGAUUAAAAGCCUNACUAGCUAAACGCACGCAGUCGUAACCGAAAGGUUGAUCGACCACAGUGGGSCUGAACAAAGCCCAUGACGAUUGUCACAGCAGUGAGGAAUAUUGGUCAAUAGCCUAACGGCUGAACCAGCAACUUGGAGGAAUGUAUAGCAAUAGCUACUUGUAUCAUUGUAGAUAUGAUGCAAGAUCGACUUGGUCGAAUAAAAUUCUAGGUAGAAUUAUGAUAAUGACAUUGUCUGCCUAUGUGUCUUGACCAAAUUACGUGCCAGCUGUCGCGGUAAUACGUAGAAGACUAGUGUUAUUCAUGUUUAGUCGGUUUAAAGGGUACCUAGACGGUAAAUCAAGCCUACAAAUAAAUGAAGGGACUAUUUUGCUAGAGUUACUUACGAGGGGGUUUUAAAGUACUGCUGGUGUAGAGAUGAAAUUCUGUAAUACCUCUUUUCAAUUGAAAAAUAAUGGCACAGGUAUAGGCGAAGGCAUCCCCUUAUGUGAUAACUGACGUUGAGGGACGAAGGCUUUGUGUAGCGAACAGGAUUAGAUACCCCAGUAGUCAAAGCAGAAAAUGAUGAAUGUCAUAGAUUAGACGUCUAAGUUUAUUCUAUAAAUGAAAGUGUAAGCAUUCCACCUCAAGAGUAAUUUGGCAACAUUGGAACUGAAAUCAUUAGACCGUUUCUGAAACCAGUAGUGAAGUAUGUUGUUUAAUUUGAUGCCACGCAAAAAACCUUACCACAAUUUGAAUAUUUAUAUUUUUUUUUUAUUAUUGUUUUAUUUUUAAUUUUCUUAAAGGACUAGGAAAGAAUUAUAUUAAAUUAGAUUAUUAAAAAUAAAGGCAAUAAGAUAUAUUUACAAGUGUUGCACGGCUGUCUUCAGUUAAUGUCGCGAGACUCUGGUUAGUUCCAUGAAAUUAACGUAAACCCUUACUUUAUUUUUUAUAUAGAGUAGUUCCCCGCUAUA
rnacentral:rRNA from 1 species